rnacentral:rRNA from 1 species
GAUGAACGCUAGCGGGAGGCUUAACACAUGCAAGUCGAGGGGCAGCAUAGGGUAGCAAUACUCUGAUGGCGACCGGCAAACGGGUGAGUAACGCGUAUGCAACCUACCCUGUACAGGGGGGAUAACCCGGAGAAAUUCGGACUAAUAUCCCGUAAUAAUAUCCGGAGGCAUCUUUGGAUAUUUAAAGUUCCGACGGUACGGGAUGGGCAUGCGUAACAUUAACUGGUUGGUAAGGUAACGGCUCACCAAGGCUAUGAUGUUUAGGGGUCCUGAGAGGGUGGUCCCCCACACUGGUACUGAGACACGGACCAGACUCCUACGGGAGGCAGCAGUGAGGAAUAUUGGUCAAUGGGCGCAAGCCUGAACCAGCCAUCCCGCGUGCAGGAAGACGGCCCUAUGGGUUGUAAACUGCUUUUCCAGGGAGAGAAACUUACGCACGUGUUGCGUGACUGACGGUACCCUGGGAAUAAGCAUCGGCUAAACUCCGUG